CCUAGAAAUAACAGUCCACAGUUCUCUGUUACUUUUAGCCAUAUGACUUCCGCAUUCCCUAUAGGCAGCUUUAAACAGACUUUUUUUUUCCCCACCUCCUACAAGAUUUUCCUGUUCUACUCAUUGUAAUAAAUAAAGGACACCACAGGCGAUCCCAGAGGAACUCCACAUCUCAGCACAGCAGGACAACUAAGUUCACUGGAUGUCAUCGUCAUCAAACAGAUCUUCAAAAUCGUUGAAGAAGUCUGCGUGCACGGCCUUCUCGUUGGCGGCCAGGUCCAUCAGCAGCCCCGUGCUUCCCCCUGCCUCGUCCAGGUCCACGUAGGGGCCGGCACCCUCCGGAAACAUCUCAUCCACUGCCG
rnacentral:lncRNA from 1 species